CAGCGGUGAAAUCGACGUGGCGAUCGACUAGGUAUCGAUGUCUCGUCGCUCCACCUUUUCCACUCGCUAGUUUGUACAACAUGCCCCAAUCGAAUCUGCAUGCGUGCCUUUCGUUUCUUAUGGCCGCGAAUUUGGGAGAAAUCCCGUUCGAGCAGCGUGACUCAAUUAGCGAACGAGUUCCCGACAAGAGAUCUGUCCCAUUAACAGCCAGUUUAUCGUAACACGACUGCCUUUACGCCAUUGAUCCCGCGACCUCGAUCUAACGGUUGAAAUAAAAUUGGGAAAAAGAGGAAAAGUGGGCAAAAAUUAAACUUGACUGUAGAAGGAGUUUACAUAUCGACAAAUUAACCAUGGUCACGUUCUUAAUUAGCUUUGCAACGAUAUAGUAUGGGCAAUGAUGACUGCGAUUUAUUCUUGUAAAUGAUUUUCUGUGAUUGAGUCUUCCUUUUUUUUUUUUUUUUUAAUAAUGGUAACAGUUAUUUAGUACGCCUAUUUCCUUUCCAUGCGUCCCGUGAGUUUGAACUUACGUUCGACAGGAAAAUUUGCGUUAAAAAUAGAUGAAACGAAAUGAAAAAUAAUGUUUGUUCGUAAUUGAAGGAGGACCUGUUUUCUCGAAUUUUGUAACGGAUUCUGUGGUAUCUGUCGCGAAAGCGGCGCGAAUAAAAAAUUCGAAGAAAAAUAAAGGCGAAUCGGAGAGCAACGUCGCGUGACGCCCAGGAAUUUUUCGUGUCGAGGGGCACAGAGAGGAGGAGGGACGCGCGUAGAGCUGUUUCUAUGCGCGCGAUAGUAUCGGCCAGCUCGAAAGUGCAGCAUGUAUCAGAACUGUUUUUUUCGCGCACCACGCGUGGCCAGCACGGACUUUGGCUGUCGGUAGCGAUGGGACUAACACCGUAUCGAUACCAGACAAUAAAGUACCGCUUUUGAUACUCAUUUUAAUCUCAAACAAAAAGAUACGGUCUCAAAAACGUUUCUCAUUUUCUACUUAUUUAUAUUCAAAUCUAUAUUCAUAGUAUCUUCUUAUUAACUGAAUUAUCUGUAAUAUUUCCUUAUAAACUAUUUUGUUUGAUCAAAAUUCCUGCAACUACGCCAUUUAAAGAAUUUCCUUGUAAAGCUUCACCAUGAGUACAAAUUGCAUUAUCCUUGAGAAGCCAUCAAAAUCUCCAAUUGCUCGAACACCACUGACGUGUAUCGUAUCCAAUCCAUCAGCAGUAGUUAGACAACCAACUUGUGUGAUAAUGGACUGGUUCUUGUUUUGUUCCGUUUCCCUCGCCCCUCCACUCCGUUCGGUACACGCGAAAAUUACCACCAAUUGGUGCCAAAAUAACUGUCGACACACUGUACCGAUUUGUGCAACUGAAUCGAAACGAGAUCGUGUCUCAGAGAUCCGCGCGGACAUUCGAGGAAAUAAAAGAACGCGAAGAAGGUAUGAGAUGUACCGGUUAACGGUGAAAAACGACGUUGAACCACUUCCUUUGUUAUAAAAUCCUUUGGACAAAAGUGAGUAUCGCGCAUAGAUAGCGCGAGGAGAAUGCCGGAUUUUUAAAAUGGAACGUGUCGCGAUAAUUUCUGCUUUGUCGAAUAAAUGAAGUCCCGCGGGGGUAAAGAAGACGAAAUAAUUGAAAGGGAACCCGCGCGUUAACCUUCGCCUCCAAGUAGCUUACAAUUUACUAAAAAUAUCAUUCCCGGACAAUGGAUAAACGAAGAAAAAGGAAAUAUUAAAUCUCGAAGAGCAGGAAGUUGACGAAACGCCGAGAUUUAUCGAAGUCCCAAAACUCGCGGUGCACUUCCUCGGCCGAGCGAAGAAACGCUGAUAAUAGUUAUCGACCGGACAUGGACAAGUUCCCCACAAUAGCGAACGACGUAUCGCGUCCUUGAAUGAUACAAACACGCCUCCCCGCUGCACUUUACGGUCGAUGGAUCUAUACGUAAAAGACGAGACUUCCUGUUACACCAGGAUGGUGAACGACCACGAGAUCCUCGAAUGGCGAAUACCAAGGUAAAGAAGAAACGUAUCGCGAGACAGUGGACAUAUUUCUUGUACCUCUCACGGGCCAAUGCAUGUUUCAAAGGGAACUCUUCCCAAACGAGUGCAGCAUGGUAGUCGAGUAGGUCUUUUCGAAUUUAAAAGGUACGACUAGAAUCCUGAAAAGGCUGACUGAGAUAUUUUAUUUAAGGAUACUACGAUCUUAAUCUUUGUGCGUGUAUGUACUUAUACUUUGGUAGGUUGGAACUUUGUUGGAAGAAUUUUGUUAGCUAUGGAAGAUUCGUUAUUAGUGAAAUUAUUUUUAGUCUGGCUGGGUUUAACAAACUCCUCGCUUAACCCUUCGAGUGCCAGAGGAAAUUUUCGUACAUAUCCGAGAAAUACCAGGCAAUUUUAAGCAAAGAUGCAUGAUUGUAAACAAAAACGUGUAUUUCGGUCAAUUUUAUUUUAAAGUUCAUGAAAUUUUUACACGAUA